UUUAUUUGUGAAAUGUUAUGAGAGUUUAUAUACAUAUUAGAAAGAAGAAGAAAAAAACUAUAA
rnacentral:sRNA from 1 species